UACGAAAUCCAAUAAGUAGCUGGUAUGUGGUUAUUAGGGUAUAUUUACAAAAACAUCGGCAUUUUUCGCAUGAGUAAAUGAUAAGCUUGUUUUCUGUAGAAAUACGCGAAGGAUUAUUGAAUGCUAUGAAGACAGCAUUUACCUUUAAUGUUUAAUCAAACUUGAGUGUGGAACUACAACAAAAUAUCGAAAGAUACCGAUUUAGGCAUUACAGUUUAUUCAAUGGACGACUGUCAAAAACUGAUUUUUACUAAACUCUUACCGAAAGUAAGAUAUUUUUCCCUGAUUUCAAGGGCGAAACCACAACAUUUUUUCAGGGUUGGUCCACGUGCAAUCUUUGAAUAAGUUUGAUCAUAUACAAAGGAAAGGACUUCAACGAAGCAAAAAUUGGUCAGUUGGGACUUAAAGGAUUCAAAAAAGUCCUAUUAUUGCGGAAACAUUCUUUUUCUCGUCUACCAAUGUUUUAAACAAAAUGAGAUGUCCACUUCAAACUUUAAUUAUGUAAAACCUAAGCUCAGAACAUUGGUAUGGAAGAGAAAAAAAAAUAGGGAAGGAGUGAAUAUAAAAGUAGGUAAUGGACAAUUAGAAGAAGUGACUUAUUUUAGGUAACUAGGGAGUCAGAUGGUUCAGGAUAGAAGAAGCAGUAGAGAUAUAAAACAGAAGAUGGACCAAUUAACAAAAAGAAGUCAUUUCUUCGCGGUUAAUUUAGAAAUUCGGAAAAGAUUGUUAAAUGUAAUGUCUGUAUGUCAGAGAAGGUUAGAAAUGUGGAUGUCUCAGAGAGAGCAGAGCAGAAGACGUUAUGGAAGUCAAGAACAAAUAGGCGAGAUAGGCAGGUAGGACACCUUCUCAGGUAUCAAGGACUAGUUAUAGAAAUAUUACAAUCAAAAACAGGAGUGAAGAGAAGUGGAGCUAGACCUACAUUAGAUUAAUGUUCACAAAUAGUUAAUGAUACUUUUAGGAAAAUGCGAAGAUUACCUCAGGGUAGGAAAGAGUGAAGGUGCGUGUUCAACUAGUUUUAGGACUGACGAGUUUAUGAUCCUUGAAAAGAUUCUUGUAGGCAAAAUGUUGCAUUUGCCUUUCAUGUAUUGUCUGAAUACGCCACUGACUAUUGUAACGAUGUGAUUAUGUUUUUCCCAUUUGGACACCAGAGAAUCAUUCUUCGGAACGUGCAAGCUAUUAAAUUAAUCUAACAAACGCUUAGCGUUUUUAGUAUCGGACGCUAACAUUGAAUUGGCUUUGUUUCCAAACAAAGAAAAUGUCCAACUACCUAGUUUCUUAUCGAGGAUUUACUGAAUUAAAGUUUUAAUGCGAAGCAAUGAAUAGAAUGGCGUUAUCAUGUAACAUUUAAUCGAUUACAUAAGUGAUAUGGAUUUACCUACUUCUGUUCUCUUAUCAGAACAGCGGUUUUCGGUGUAAGUAACUUUAGCGUAACUAUCAAUUGUUAUAGUCGAUAAGGAAAUUAAAAGGUUAUGGUUUGCCUAGUGAGAGGAGAGGAAGAAGCGACAGCACGGUUUAUUGUUUAUUUACUAUUCGAAAUGUUUAUUGAUCUAUGAGCUAUACGCAAAUCAUAUUUUCUAAAUAAUACACUCAUCGACACAGCUGUAAAUUUUCAACAGUACUGCCGAUUUGAGAUGAGAACUGAACAUAUGAGAGUUUAUUAUUAUUAGGGCAUCAAGCUUUUGAACGCCAUCUGUUGUACAAUGCUACAUUUAGUGGAAUUCAACAUGUUCAACAGGGUCCAUUAAUAUAGAUGGAUAUCUACUUGUUGAACUGAAUCUACGGCGUAGCUUACCAUAUGUGACAGGCAUGUUACCAAAAACAAAGAAGUUCAUGGUAGGUAGUCAGUAUUUUGUCGAAACUGUCAGACGCGGUUUGUGAUUUCGAUAUAUUUGGAUCUCAUAAGCACUGGCUGCUGCCUUUGACACAGGGUUCUUUAAAAAUCCUACAAAUCGCGAUCUGCGCCUGGCAGUUGCAACAGAGUACUGUUGUUGUUGAAUAUAUUGAAUUAUUCUAAAUGUAGCACGUACCACAGGUGGCGUUUACCGCGCCGUUUGUAGGAUUUCAUAAAACACUGUGUCAAGGCAGCAGCUAGAGUAGGUCUAAGUUGUGAACUUCAUUCUUUAGCGCGAGUAUCCAUCACAAUAAGUGUGGAUCACCUAUUUUCGACGUUUUCUCCACCAAAUAUCCUCAUACUGUCCUCUCCUAGUCAAUCCUUCACCCACUCCCAACCUUUUCAUUUUUCCUUGCCGGGGAUGUGUGUAACCUUCGGGUUGAUCUCUCCACUCGAGGCAGGGGUUUCAGAUGGCAAAAGCCGACACUGCCUUCCUUCUGGGGAUGUCUUUAGAAGAUUUCUCCUCCUCGAGAAUAAACAAAAAAAUUCCGCGUUUGGUAGUGUCGACUGAAUACAAACCACCUACCACCAUGAACUUCUUUGUUUAAUUAUAGACUCGUUGCAACAAUUUCAACUCAACUUUCUCGUUGAAAAUUUACCAACGAAGAAUUAAAAUUCCAUUAGUUUUAGUGUUUAAACGACUUUUUCAACGGUACUUAAUGUGGUUUGGAAAGUUAGUGAGGGUGGCGGUAUUUAAUGCAAAGUCUGCCAGAAUGAAGACAUGAGCCAUUAAUUGUAGUGAUUUUACCUUUGAGGGGUGUUAUUCUUUGUUUAAUGAUUUCGAGAGUUCCGCUUGUUUAAGAUGGUUAGCUGGUGUUUUUUUCAGGUACUUAGACUUAAACUCAAGAAUCCUGAAUUUUCUUUUGUUCAAUUGAGUAUUAAAAAA